rnacentral:rRNA from 1 species
UACGAAGGGGGCUAGCGUUGCUCGGAAUCACUGGGCGUAAAGCGCACGUAGGCGGCUUUUUUAAGUCAGGGGUGAAAUCCUGGAGCUCAACUCCAGAACUGCCUUUGAUACUGAGAAGCUUGAGUCCGGGAGAGGUGAGUGGAACUGCGAGUGUAGAGGUGAAAUUCGUAGAUAUUCGCAAGAACACCAGUGGCGAAGGCGGCUCACUGGCCGGUACUGACGCUGAGGUGCGAAAGCGUGGGGAGCAAACAGG